rnacentral:piRNA from 1 species
UAGAAUGCAUACUGCAAAUAGAUAGGAC